UACGUAGGGGCCGAGCGUUGUCCGGAGUUAUUGGGCGUAAAGCGCGCGCAGGCGGCCUCGCGCGCCCGACGUGAAAGCCCCCGGCUUAACCGGGGAGGGUCGUUGGGGACGGCGGGGCUUGAGGGCGGGAGAGGUCGGUGGAAUUCCCGGUGUAGUGGUGAAAUGCGUAGAGAUCGGGAGGAACACCUGUGGCGAAGGCGGCCGACUGGGCCGACCCUGACGCUCAUGCACGAAAGCGUGGGGAGCAAACAGG
rnacentral:rRNA from 1 species